ACAAUACGAUGUAGGCCCCUUUUAAAAUCAGCAUUUAUAAUACAAAUAAGAAUGUGCAAGCUAAUAUAAGCCUAUAUAAAGUAAACCAAAAUAGUAAGGCUGCAUUUAAAUUUGUCGAAAGAUACAUAAAGAGGAAUAUAAAAAAACAACUUGUGGUUACAAUAGUUGUAGAAUCAUGAAGCUAUUAGUUUAUAUGGUCUACAUCGCAAUGUUUCUUGUUAUGAUCAGUGCAAACAGUGAUGUACUUAGACAAGAUACUAAUCUCAAAGAAAGUGAAAAAGUUUUCGAGUAAUAUUCUGUGCUAAAUAGACUGUAACUAGAUGCAGUCUCUCUCUAAAAUAAAUAAUACUGAUUAUUU